rnacentral:rRNA from 1 species
AGUGAACGCUGGCGGUAGGCCUAACACAUGCAAGUCGAACGGCAGCACAGUAAGAGCUUGCUCUUACGGGUGGCGAGUGGCGGACGGGUGAGGAAUACAUCGGAAUCUACUUUUUCGUGGGGGAUAACGUAGGGAAACUUACGCUAAUACCGCAUACGACCUACGGGUGAAAGCAGGGGAUCUUCGGACCUUGCGCGAUUGAAUGAGCCGAUGUCGGAUUAGCUAGUUGGCGGGGUAAAGGCCCACCAAGGCGACGAUCCGUAGCUGGUCUGAGAGGAUGAUCAGCCACACUGGAACUGGGACACGGUCCAGACUCCUACGGGAGGCAGCAGUGGGGAAUAUUGGACAAUGGGCGCAAGCCUGAUCCAGCCAUACCGCGUGUGUGAAGAAGGCCUUCGGGUUGUAAAGCCCUUUUGUUGGGAAAGAAAAGCAGCAGGUUAAUACCCCGCUGUUCUGACGGUACCCAAAGAAUAAGCACCGGCUAACUUCGUG